GCCCAGUCUGGAGUGCAGUGGCGCAGUCUCGGUUCACUGCAACCUCUGCCUCUCAGGUUCAAGCCAUUCUCGUGCAUCAGCCUCCUGAGAGCUGGGACUACAGGCGCCUGCCACCACAUCCGGUUAAUUUUUGUAUUUUUAGUAGAGAUGGGGUUUUGCCAUGUUGGCCAGGCUGGUCUUGAACUCCUGAGCUCAGGUGAUCUGCCCACCUCGGCCUCCCAAAGUUCUGGGAUUACAGGCGUGAGCCAUGGUGCCCAGCCUGGCUCCUGUUUUUUGAGACAGGGUUUCACCCUGUUUCCCAGGUUGGAGUAUAGUGGUGCCGUCAUGACUUACUGCAGCCUUGAACUCUUUGGCUCAAGCAGUCCUCCCCACUCAGCCUCUCUAGUAGCUGGGGCUCCAGGCAUGAAUCACCGUGCCAGACUAAGUUUUUUUAAAAUUUUUUGUAGAGAGAAUCUCUCUCUGUUGCACAGGCUAUUCUUGAACUCCUAGGCUCAAGUGAUCCUCCUGCUUCAGCCUCCGAAAGUGCUGGGAUUACAGUUACAACGGUGUUGGAGUCUUGGGCCCAAAGACCAGCUCCUAGAACCUGCAGGGAAGCAACGGCACGUUCCAUCUCUCCCCAUGCCACUGAGGAAUCAUUGGUGGCAGGAUUCUCAGCAGGCAUGGCCGUGGGUGCACAGAACAGAGAAAGGAUGGCCUGGACCACACACAUCACUGUGUGCAGAUGCUUUCCUAGACACUGCAGCCAAGGACACAGAGGCUCAGAGAGUCUCACUGUUUUCCAGGCUGGAGUGCAGUGGCAUGAUUUUGGCUCACUGCAACCUCCGCCUACUGAGUUCGAGUGAUUCUUGUGCCUCAGCCUCCAGAGUAGCCAGGAUUACAGGCACCCGCCACCACGCGUGUUGAAUUUUUUGUAUUUUUAGUAGAGAUGGGGUUUCAUUAUGCUGCCCAUUAUGCUCCUGACCUCAGGUGAUCCACCUGCCUUGGCCUUCCAAAGUGCUGGGAUUACAAGCGUGAGCCACUGUGCCCAG
rnacentral:lncRNA from 10 species